GACGGGGGUCGGGGCCGAGGAGCGGUGGAACUUCUCAGAAAAAUAGGUGCCCGCCCACGCAGCCUUGGCGCACUCGCGCUCGGCACUUUGGAUUCUGGAGUCCGGUGUGAGCGCCCCGAGCGGCGACCGGGCUUUGGCCGCCCCCGGGCCCAUAGUGGUGGUGGGGGCCGGGGGGGGGUCGUCGGGCGGGAUUUCAGGCAAACGCGUCUCCUUGAAUACCUGGGCGACGUUUGACACUUGUGCACCGAGACCCUUUGCAAAGCCAGAUGAGUCCGACGGGCUCCCGAAACCGAGGUGUGGGUUACAUUUCUGCGGGUGCACCAAUUGCCAUGAGCGCGGCUGCUUAAUGCUUCUGUCAUUGGAAGUCUGGUCUCCAAACCACCGUCUCAAGCCAGCAUGACUCCAGCUGCCUGGAAUUCCAUUCAUCUCUAAGGGCCGGGAUGUCAGCAGCCACACUUCCCCUGCUGUGGCCCUGCGCUGUCAGGCUGGCCCUGAGACACAGGACGCAGGUAUGCCAACCCCGUGGGCAUGACGGAGGCCAUGGAAGUGGAAGAUCCUGUUCUGUUUGGGAUGGGGACUUUACGGGUGUCUUCUUAUCUCGAGUAGGAUGCUGGCCACUGCCCAGGUCUACUCACGUGCACUGGGCUGAAGGGAUCGGUUUCCUCCACUUCCCAGAGUAUCCAUUAGGCACUCAACAAAUGCCAGUUGAACAGAAUAGAAAAGAUUCUUGGUCUAGAAGAACGUAGGGCAUCAGGUUGCUGCAGAGAGGAGAGCCCUAUGCUGACAGACUGCAUUCCAGCAGUUUCCAGGUUUUGGAGGCUGCGCUAUCCACACAUUGUUGAGAUGCUAAGGAGUUCCUAUGGGGAAAAGGUGGCUAGCAUUCAGAUCAUCUUUGAAGCUCAAGGACCCGAUGCCGACAGCCACCCAGCUUCAGUGCACCCUUUGUUUGCUGGUUAUUUCCCAUUUCACUUGGGAUAAAUAGUUAUAAGAACAACUUGAGAGGUAUAUUGGUCUACACAAAACAGGAGAAACAUGGAAUAGUCCCUGGAGAAGUAAACAAGGGAAGUAAGUAUGUGAAAAUUCUUCAUUGAGGGAUGUUUAGAAUGUAUUUUGAGACUUCUGGAAUCUUUGCCUCUGCUCCAUUUUUGUUUUCCUAGCAUCUAGGAGCAUUUCUGAGUACUUCACUAUGAAUGUGCCUACAACCCAUUUUACUGAUGAGGAAAGUGAGGCAGGGAGAAUUGCUCAAACUCAUAUAGAAAAUUUUGGAGCCAGGAUAUACACCCAGACACUCUAGCUCCAGUGUCUACCCUCUAAACAGCUCUAGCUACCCUUCUUAAGGGAUCCUGCAUUUCCCUUCAUGUCCUUUUAAAUGCCUAACUACCAUAUAGCUCCUUUUUAAUGCCUUCUGCCUGAUUCUUUUUUGUUGCCAGUGUAUUUAUUUAUUUUGAGAGAGAAUCCCAAGCAGGCUCUGCACUGUCAGCGCAGAGCUCUACAUGAUGCUUAAUCUCAUGAACUGUAAGAUCAUGACCUGAGCCAAAUCAAGAGUCGAACACUUAACUGACUGAGCUACCCAGGCGCCCCUCCUUCUGCCUGAUUCUUGACCCACUGGGCCAGAAGGUGACUCACUAGAAUUCUCCAUGAAACAUUUCCAAGGAGUAGAGGCACCCCCAGAAGAAGGGGAUCUUUGUCCUCCUCCCUGGCAUGGUAGUGAGCCACAGGGGCCAUGAGAUUGGUGGGAACCAUCAAUAUAUACAUAAAGGAAAAGCUUACUCAUUGGCUGAGCAUCAGUGAAAGGGUUGGUGUGCUAGUGUCCAAACAAUCCAAAGGCUCUAGAGACAGAGGCAGAGAGGUGGAAUUGAGGUCAGGACUAAAACGGGGGAGGAGCCCUUUUAAAGAGAACAGUGGGUGACUGGGCAGCAGAGGGAAAGAGCACAGACCCCGAGAUCAGGGGACAAAUUCAGAUACAGCUGAUUGCACGCACCCUAUGUGUAUUCGCACGCAAGCCGCUUAACCUCUUCAGCAGUAUAAACAGCUGCCUCACAGCUCUGCUGUUGUAGUAAACGGAGCGAUGUGAAUUACAUGUCUAAUACAGGCUAUGGCCACAGCAGGCUGUCAGUCCAUGGCAGUUUUUGAGAGCCCUUUCUCCCCUUGACCCGCCAACUCAGCCUCCCUUUUUCCUUCUUAGAUCAGGCUGCUGUAGAAGGAUGGAAACUUUCUAGAGUUUGGCUGUUUGCACAUGCUGUUCCAAGUAUGGCAAUGGUUGGGAAAAAGAUCUUGGGGUGGGUUAUUUUUGGUCAUUAGACAUAUCUUGUAACAUUUGAUUUUUCUAGCAAGAAGCCACCUAUGGCUGGUAAUCAAUACAGUCAGCAUGCUUUCCCUUUGUCCAUAAUGUGGCUGAUGCUGAUCUGAAGGAUGGGUCAGAGGGGUGGGGUGGGGUCAGCUUGCUGACUCCUGUACAGCCUGACCCUCCCUCACCAGGGUGCUGGCCACUUUUACCUCUGUCGGUUUAGAGACUUUUGUGGUUUGGGUACUUUUGUUUCUGCAGGAUAAGGGGUUCUGAUUAAUGUCCCUCCAACAAGCUAGUUUGCCUUUUUAUAAAUAAUCUCAGCUUUAUGCUGUUUUGUCCGUAGCUUAAACCUUGUAGGCUCAUCCGUCUGAAUUUGUUCUUCUCCCUGGGGUUUGCCAACAUCUUCAUUUACAAGUCUUCUUCAGAUUUCUUUCAGGGGUCUUUUGUUCUCUUUUCCAUGUUGUUAGCUAGAACGUAAAAUUAAAUCUAAAGUGAGCAAGCACUGACCCCAGGACACCCUGCUGAGCACCUCUUCUGGCAGGAGACUUGCCAGAGUCUCACCUUUCCUUCAUAAUCUUUGGUUAAUAUUCAACCCAUGUGACUUGCUCUCUCUGGCCAUUUGAACCAUGUUAGCAAUUAAAGUUUCGUGAGUUUCUGUGCAAAAUGCCGCAACUCAAGUCCAAAAAUGCAGUGUCUGCUGUGUUUCUUUCCUCCUAUCAUACUUACCCUCCCUAAAACAAAAAAUAAGCUCUCACGUCCUUGUAUGCUUUGUCCUUAAGCAAGCCUUUUUGCUUCUUUCCUGAGGUUUCUACUGUCCUAGAUAUAUUUACAAAUUAUAUCUUUACUUAUGACUGUUGCUAAGUACAGACCUACAGGUGCUGGUUAAUUUCAGGACAAAUGUCCAGGCAUUUUCAGUUUCCACUUCUUUCCACCCCUCUGCUAGCCAAUAAACCCUGAGAAAUAAUGAAACCUUUCAUGGAUUUCUUACCUGGGUCUUUGGACAUCCCAAACUAUUUGUUACCUGGCUCCUUUGAUUUGUAAAUGUUCAGGGUGUCCAACACCUGCUUUUUGUGUUAUUUUCCAUCAGCUCUGUUUGUAGAGUCUUUGAAGUCAUACCAUGGCAUCCAAUUUCUUUUAUGUAGAACAGCCUUUAUCUGAGAGCAGUGAUUUUUAGCUAGCGCUGCACAUUAGAAUCCAAGGGGGAAUCGUUUAAAAAUACAGAUGCCCAGGCAUCCCCUCCCCCCAAGGUAUUCUGAUUUAGUAGGUUUGGGGUGGGCUUUGUCUGUCUUUAUGUGUUUUAAAGCUCCUGAGUUGGUUCUAAAGGCACCCUGGUGUAGAGCCACAUACCAGAGUAAGUCCCAGGUCGGCGGUGUGCACAGCGGCACCCUGGCUGGCUCCAGCUAAACCCUGGGCUCUGGGCCACAGACACCCUGGGCCCUGGCUUCUAUUACCUUACUCUGACUGGAGGAGGGUCGGUCUGAGCUGGAACAUGUAAAAGUGAGGGGUAAACGAGAAAGGAGAGCUGUCCAGGUGGAGAGAAGAGCAGCAUGAUGGGCACAGAGACAGGGAAACAGAAGGUCGGCAGUGGUGGGGGAAGAGCCGGCUGACUUGGGACGGAGCACAGGCUGCCUGGUAGAGAGUACCAGGGAGCAGUGGGGUAGGCCAGCCCUGAGGCGUUGCCAGGCAACAGGCAGCGAAUCCCAGUGACAUCACCUGUGUACAUAAAGCCGAGUCCUAUUUUCUUCUCUUCGUGAUGGCCAAGACCGUCUAUUAGAACACAGGACUUUUUGAAGCAACUGAGAAUGCAUUUUGCUUUGUAUGCUAUUUCUUGGGGUGGGGGGGCUAUAAUACUGACAGCUUCCUCCACACAUUUUGUCCAGAGGCCUGGCUCCUGCUAGGGUGAUGUCCUGGACCUCUGCCCCAGGUCCCCUCUCCCACCUCUUGGCCAAGGUGACCAACAACAGCAAACACAGGUGGGCCUCCCUAUCGGGGUGGGGUUGCUGCCAAUGCCUAUUUUAUUUUAUUUUUGCUGAGAUUUAUAGAUUUCCCUUACAAGAGGAGGAGGGAUACGAUAAGGAACGAAGAGCAGGUUUGUAUUUUAAUUUUUCCCCAAUGCAUACGGACAGGCAUUAUUAUCCACAGUUUAUGGCCAAGAACAUCGAGUUUAAAAGAGGUUAAGUAGCUUGCCUACAGUCACAGGAUAAUGAGUGGUGGAACGAGGGUGGAGAACCAGGUCUCUCUGGCCCCACACCUCUGCUUUUUCCAUUCUACCACUUGUGCCUGUCUGGGUGGAGGAUUGGCCGGGGGCUGUUGAGGCAUCCCCCCGUGAGGUUAAACCUCAUUUGUAUUUUUAAUCAGACACUCGUGUCUUACGGCACGUCUGGGCUCAUUGGAGGCUUUGGGGCAUAUUUGAGGCAGCUUAAGGUGGAUGUAGCGUCUGGGGGAAUUGAUAAUGAGGUUAAGCUGGGAUGGUUACAACUUUGCUUCUUGUGCAGGUUUGCCCAGGGCUGCCACUCAAGCUGAGUUUUCAGCUUUCCUUUGGCACCUGGAACAUCUGCUCUCGCCAGUUCCAUCUUGUCUCCCUGCUUGUGGAGCAGGAGAGGGAAACAGGUGCAGCUCUGAAGAUACUCUUGAGUUGUUUCAGGUGAUCCUUUUUCUCAGGAUGUUUUUGGCUGGUAUUUCCCUUUCUUGGGAUUCCUGGGAACAUCUAAGGGAUGGAUGAGCCUACAGGACUGCUGUGUCUGGCGGUGGCGUUCUGUAUGCCAGGUUUGGAGGGCAAUCUCCUAACAAAUCUCUGAGCUGCUAGAAUAUAGUUUCCGUGAGGGCAGAGUCUGGGUCUCCAUAUCCUUAGCACCGAGCAGAGUGCCUGACCUAGAGUGAGAGCUUUAGAAAUAGGUGUUGAAUAAACAUAGGUGCUCCUGUUCCACGUGGAAUUUUCUUUAAUUGAUGGCCCUGCAGCAAAGAGAUUUCCCCAGGUCUAUGAAUGGAGAGGAAUGAAGUCCUCUGUACUACCCUUAUUUUUCAGUUGGUUUGCUUGUUUCGUCAUGCAGUUACUUUAGGAUCCCUUCAUCCCUUUUAGUUCUUUAACCAGUUCCCCUGGGCAUGGUCCUGCCUUUUAAUCACACUACAGAGAACAAUCUGGUGAAGAGGGAAGGAAAGACUGUCAGCACGACCUUGGCCACUUACUGAGAAUACCAAAUCGUGGGCUCCGUUUGCUUUGAGGGACCCCUCAUCCACGGCCAGCCCAGGACCUCCUUGGUUAGAAAGGACAAGGAGGGCAGCAACAGGGCCUGAUGCUUCUCACUAAAGGGAGGGCACAAAGAAGACGCACAAAGGGCUCUUCUCUCCUUGGAGCACGAAUGGAGUCUCCUCCUUCCUCAGAAUAGGCUGUCUUCAUGGGAAUUUGGAGUAGUGGUUAGGGAUGAUGUGUCUGCCUUAAAUCUCACUCCUUAAAACCUUCAAAUUAUGCAUUCAGGUGCAAUGCAAUAACUUGCAAAUUAUGCAUUCAGGUGCAUUCAAUUGAACUAUCUUGAGGGUGGGGGUAAAGAACUGGGAAAAUGAGAAUGUUUGAUUUUUAUUCAGACCUAGAAAAUGUCAGGGGAUUGGCCGUGGAAUGGGGUCAGAUUCUCUGAACGGCCCUGUUGUGGAUGGGCUCUACAAAGUGAGACACUAUGCCCAGCGGAUGAUUUGAACAUGAAACAUAACUUCCCAUCACUAUUAGUUGAUCCAAAUAUAAAAUCGUAUUUUUAAAAAGCAUUCCCUCCCCCCUUAGUAUUAGGGCUGGGUCACUCCUUCCUAUUGCCUAGAAAUUCUUGGUGCUGUCAUCUGAGUGAAUUUCUUUUACUGGAAUUCUUUUCCUCUAAUGCUUGUGAUAAAGGCCUGAGGAUUAUAAGGUUUUGAGGUGGGAAUGAUCAAGCAAAUUCCUUCUCCCUGAAUUGUCGAAGUAAGCCAAAGAAACCAGACAUCUUCAAGAGUUAAGUUGUUAACUAAGAAAAACCAAGCAAAUCAAAGCAAACCAAGGGAAAGCAAAGGAAAGCAGACUAAAACCACCCAUCUCCAAGAUACUUCCCCACCGUGGAAUGGCAUUCCAGAUGGCCGUAAGGUACCUUCAAAUUUUAAAUUAAUACUAAAUUCCACUCUACAUCAAGCUUGCCAAGCAGUCAUUUAUGCCAUUCUUGAAAUAUCCAGUGCUGGAGAUCUCACUGUAUUUUAUUUUAUCUAAAAGUCAGUCUGGCUGUGAGAUAGAAUUUUACCCAAACAAAAUUUGACUGUGUUCUUGGAUUUUCCUCAUACAUGCACCAUGGGGUCAUCUAAUUUCUCUUACACUUUAUAGUUCUUUAAGGGAUAUGUUUAUGAACCAUUUAUAAUUCUAUAGUUCUGCAUUCCACUGUUUUCACUUAAAUUAUAUUGUGAACAUUUUCCCACAUCACUACAUGUGUUUCAAAAAUAUGAAUUGUAAUGGCUACAAAGGAUUCUCUAUCAUUAUUUUAGUUAUCCCCUCUUAUUGAACGUUUAGGUGUUUUAUAGUUUUUAUAAUGUCACAACAGCAAACUCAACUCUGCUUUCACCUCUCAUUAUUUACUUAAACUAUCUUGAAUGUGAGACUAUGGGGUCAACGUGUGUGAAUGCUUUUAAGGAUUUGUGUGCGUAUUGUGUUUCGGAUCAUGCUCCAAAUAAAUAGACUCUGAGCUAGAGAUUUGUGUGUAGGAAAUUUACUAGGGAGUGCCCUCAACAUCUGUGAGACAGUGAGGGGAGAAGUUGGAUAGAGGAAGAAGUUGAACUAUGGUGUAUUAUAAUAAUGACUUCAGCUGAUCCUGGGGAGAUCUGGAGUUUAGAGGUCCCUUUAGAAUUGUCCCAAACUGAGGCAAAGGGGCUGAGCCUUUGAGGCCUGACCACUCAUUGGUUGCAGGUGCCUCUUGUAAAGAGGGAGCAGGUACAACCUUAGAUGAGGUAUCUCCUUUUAGCCAAGGGCAAUUCCUAGAGAAGGACUCAACUACUAACAUUCAGCAGCUAAUGGUCCUGGCAACUGGGGGAAUAAUUGCUCAGAACUGAAGAGGAGAAUCAGGUAAUGUAUCACAGCAUCCACUGAAGUGGAUAACCCUUGCAUCUCUUGAAGUCACUGGUUUCUUAUAAAAAAUCCAUUCUAUCUGGGAACAGAUCCUCUAGAAUUAUGGUCAAUCUCUUUUCCUAGGGAGAUGUGCAAAAGGAAAUUUAAUGGGAGAAAUUAUAGUGCUCAUUGAUGCAUCUGUUCUCAGGCAUACCUGACACUCAUCAAAUCCUUCCUCUACAACCCAUUGUAGACUUACUCCCCCUUUAGCUAGAACUUUGGCUGAUCCAAAGGGUUACCUGGUGGGUGACCCAGACCUUCAUCCUUGAAAGAGAUGAUCAUCAAGCUCUGGUCAUCAAGCUCUUCUCAAGCCGUGACUCCUGCUUUUAUCUAUUUAUCAUUGAAGUUGGUUAGGGGAUUACCAAGAGAGGCCCCAGAGGUCCUUCUCAUUGCCAAACAUAGUCUUCUCUACCCUCAUUGUGCAAAAACAGUCCAUCUUCCUUCUGAUGACCAUGGUCAGUUGCCUCUGCAAGGGUGAUAAUGUCUUUCCUUGCCUGUUGAUUUCUUUUUUUAAAAAAAAAUUUUUUUUCCAACAUUUAUUUAUUUUUGGGAC